rfam:Luteococcus japonicus LSP_Lj1 genome assembly, contig: Scaffold9
GGUCCACGAUUCCACUACGGAUCGUCGGGCACGUACCUGCCCGUGGAAAGGAAGUG